GAAGAAAAGGGCAGGGCAAAGACCGGUGCCCAGCCGCCGCGGUAAUACCGGCUGCUCGAGUGAUGGCCACUAUUACUGGGUUUAAAGCGUCCGUAGCUUGACUGAUAGGUCUCUUGGGAAAUCUUAACGCUUAACGUUAAGGCGUCUAAGAGAUACCGUCAGUCUUGGAACUGGGAGAGGUAAACCGUACUUCGGGGGUAGGAGUGAAAUCUUGUAAUCCUCGAGGGACGACCUAUGGCGAAGGCAGUUUACCAGAACAGCUUCGACAGUGAGGGACGAAAGCUGGGGGAGCAAACGGGAUUGGAUACCCCGGUAGUCCCAGCCGUAAACAAUGUSCGUUCGUUUAUCGGUAACCACGCGUUACUGAUGCGCCGCAGAGAAAUCGUGAAACGCACCACCCKGGAAG
rnacentral:rRNA from 1 species